rnacentral:rRNA from 1 species
GAUGAACGCUGGCGGCGUGCCUAAUACAUGCAAGUCGAGCGAACAGACGAGGAGCUUGCUCCUCUGACGUUAGCGGCGGACGGGUGAGUAACACGUGGAUAACCUACCUAUAAGACUGGGAUAACUUCGGGAAACCGGAGCUAAUACCGGAUAAUAUAUUGAACCGCAUGGUUCAAUAGUGAAAGACGGUUUUGCUGUCACUUAUAGAUGGAUCCGCGCCGCAUUAGCUAGUUGGUAAGGUAACGGCUUACCAAGGCGACGAUGCGUAGCCGACCUGAGAGGGUGAUAGGCCACACUGGAACGGAGACACGGUCAAGACGCCUACGGGAGGCAGCAGUAGGGAAUCUUCCGCAAUGGGCGAAAGCUUGACGGAGCAACGCCGCGUGAGUGAUGAAGGUGUUCGGAUCGUAAAAAUCUGUUAUUAGGGAAGAACAAAUGUGGAAGUAACUAUGCACGUAUUGACGGUACCUAAUCAGAAAGCCACGGCUAACUACGUG